AUUCCCGGGGGAGGAACAGGAGAAGGAAGGCGCCGCGCCAGUGCCGUACUAUGAAGCGUGAAAAAUCGAUCCUGAAAUCACGACGGUGAAUUCGCGAACCGAUUACGACGGAUCAUUGAGCGAAACGAUUAACUUCGAACGUACGGCCAGUCACCGGUCUCCCAGUCGGCAACCUAGUUGGGGACGAUUACCAAUAGCUGUCUCCAAAAUUAUUCGAUAGGAACCGAUCUCGUUCAGGAGCUUUAAUCUCGUUCGAACUAUUAUUAUCAACUACUGAAAUUGGGACAUCGCGAAUUUGAGAUAUAUUGAAGCGCUGCAAUUCAUCUCGUGAUGGCUCUCGACCAUCGUGUGUGUUCCGUACUGCUUCGACGUGUGUUUUCCCUUUUAAAUGGCUCAACAGGGCUUCUACAAACAGAUUCUGUGGGACUCAUUCUUUGUAAAGGACUAGUGGAUUUCGGAAUCAUUGUGGAAUUCCAUAUUCGACAAGGAGAAGUUUUUCUAACUUCCCAAGCUAAAGGAGUACGUCUUAAGGGUGGUGGCGAAUUUUCA